UUAAUUUGAGAGUUUGAUCCUGGCUCAGGACGAACGCUGGCGGCGUGCCUAAUACAUGCAAGUCGAACGAACUCUGGUAUUGAUUGGUGCUUGCAUCAUGAUUUACAUUUGAGUGAGUGGCGAACUGGUGAGUAACACGUGGGAAACCUGCCCAGAAGCGGGGGAUAACACCUGGAAACAGAUGCUAAUACCGCAUAACAACUUGGACCGCAUGGUCCGAGCUUGAAAGAUGGCUUYGGCUAUCACUUUUGGAUGGUCCCGCGGCGUAUUAGCUAGAUGGUGGGGUAACGGCUCACCAUGGCAAUGAUACGUAGCCGACCUGAGAGGGUAAUCGGCCACAUUGGGACUGAGACACGGCCCAAACUCCUACGGGAGGCAGCAGUAGGGAAUCUUCCACAAUGGACGAAAGUCUGAUGGAGCAACGCCGCGUGAGUGAAGAAGGGUUUCGGCUCGUAAAACUCUGUUGUUAAAGAAGAACAUAUCUGAGAGUAACUGUUCAGGUAUUGACGGUAUUUAACCAGAAAGCCACGGCUAACUACGUGCCAGCAGCCGCGGUAAUACGUAGGUGGCAAGCGUUGUCCGGAUUUAUUGGGCGUAAAGCGAGCGCAGGCGGUUUUUUAAGUCUGAUGUGAAAGCCUUCGGCUCAACCGAAGAAGUGCAUCGGAAACUGGGAAACUUGAGUGCAGAAGAGGACAGUGGAACUCCAUGUGUAGCGGUGAAAUGCGUAGAUAUAUGGAAGAACACCAGUGGCGAAGGCGGCUGUCUGGUCUGUAACUGACGCUGAGGCUCGAAAGUAUGGGUAGCAAACAGGAUUAGAUACCCUGGUAGUCCAUACCGUAAACGAUGAAUGCUAAGUGUUGGAGGGUUUCCGCCCUUCAGUGCUGCAGCUAACGCAUUAAGCAUUCCGCCUGGGGAGUACGGCCGCAAGGCUGAAACUCAAAGGAAUUGACGGGGGCCCGCACAAGCGGUGGAGCAUGUGGUUUAAUUCGAAGCUACGCGAAGAACCUUACCAGGUCUUGACAUACUAUGCAAAUCUAAGAGAUUAGACGUUCCCUUCGGGGACAUGGAUACAGGUGGUGCAUGGUUGUCGUCAGCUCGUGUCGUGAGAUGUUGGGUUAAGUCCCGCAACGAGCGCAACCCUUAUUAUCAGUUGCCAGCAUUAAGUUGGGCACUCUGGUGAGACUGCCGGUGACAAACCGGAGGAAGGUGGGGAUGACGUCAAAUCAUCAUGCCCCUUAUGACCUGGGCUACACACGUGCUACAAUGGAUGGUACAACGAGUUGCGAACUCGCGAGAGUAAGCUAAUCUCUUAAAGCCAUUCUCAGUUCGGAUUGUAGGCUGCAACUCGCCUACAUGAAGUCGGAAUCGCUAGUAAUCGCGGAUCAGCAUGCCGCGGUGAAUACGUUCCCGGGCCUUGUACACACCGCCCGUCACACCAUGAGAGUUUGUAACACCCAAAGUCGGUGGGGUAACCUUUUAGGAACCAGCCGCCUAAGGUGGGACAGAUGAUUAGGGUGAAGUCGUAACAAGGUAGCCGUAGGAGAACCUGCGGCUGGAUCACCUCCUUUCUAGGAA
rnacentral:rRNA from 2 species